ACUCAAAUGAAUUGACGGGGACCCGCACAAGCGGUGGAGCAUGUGGUUUAAUUCGAUGGUAAGCGGAGCACCUCACCAAGGUUUGACAUCCUGUUGAAAGGCACCAGAAAUGGAGCCCCUCUUCGGACAACAGUGACAGGUGCUGCACGGUUGUCGUCAGCUCGUGUUGUGAAAUGUACGGUUAAGUCCGAUAACGAGCGCAACCCCUAUUGCCAGUUAUAUAUGUCUGGCGAGACUGCCGUGGUUAACACGGAGGAAGGUGGGGAUGACGUCAAAUCAGCGUGGCCUUUAUACCUUGGGCGACACACGUGCUACAAUGGGUAGGUCACAAUGGGUUGCAAAAGCGUAAGCUGGAGCUAAUCCCAUCAAAACUACCCCAAGUUCGGAUUGAGGGCUGCAACUCGCCCUCAUGAAGCUGGAAUCGCUAGUAACCGCAGAUCAGCUAUGCUGCGGUGAAUACGUUCUCGGGUCUUGUACACACCGCCCGU
rnacentral:rRNA from 1 species